AGAGUUUGAUCCUGGCUCAGAUUGAACGCUGGCGGCAUGCCUUACACAUGCAAGUCGAACGGCAGCACGGGGGCAACCCUGGUGGCGAGUGGCGAACGGGUGAGUAACAUAUCGGAACGUGCCCUGGAGUGGGGGAUAACUAGUCGAAAGAUUAGCUAAUACCGCAUACGAUCUACGGAUGAAAGUGGGGGAUCGCAAGACCUCAUGCUCGUGGAGCGGCCGAUAUCUGAUUAGCUAGUUGGUGGGGUAAAGGCCUACCAAGGCAUCGAUCAGUAGCUGGUCUGAGAGGACGACCAGCCACACUGGGACUGAGACACGGCCCAGACUCCUACGGGAGGCAGCAGUGGGGAAUUUUGGACAAUGGGCGCAAGCCUGAUCCAGCAAUGCCGCGUGAGUGAAGAAGGCCUUCGGGUUGUAAAGCUCUUUUGUCAGGGAAGAAACGGUGAGGGCUAAUAUCCCUUGCUAAUGACGGUACCUGAAGAAUAAGCACCGGCUAACUACGUGCCAGCAGCCGCGGUAAUACGUAGGGUGCAAGCGUUAAUCGGAAUUACUGGGCGUAAAGCGUGCGCAGGCGGUUGUGCAAGACCGAUGUGAAAUCCCCGGGCUUAACCUGGGAAUGGCAUUGGUGACUGCACGGCUAGAGUGUGUCAGAGGGGGGUAGAAUUCCACGUGUAGCAGUGAAAUGCGUAGAGAUGUGGAGGAAUACCGAUGGCGAAGGCAGCCCCCUGGGAUAACACUGACGCUCAUGCACGAAAGCGUGGGGAGCAAACAGGAUUAGAUACCCUGGUAGUCCACGCCCUAAACGAUGUCAACUAGUUGUCGGGUCUUAAUUGACUUGGUAACGCAGCUAACGCGUGAAGUUGACCGCCUGGGGAGUACGGUCGCAAGAUUAAAACUCAAAGGAAUUGACGGGGACCCGCACAAGCGGUGGAUGAUGUGGAUUAAUUCGAUGCAACGCGAAAAACCUUACCUACCCUUGACAUGGCAGGAAUCCCGGAGAGAUUCGGGAGUGCUCGAAAGAGAACCUGCACACAGGUGCUGCAUGGCUGUCGUCAGCUCGUGUCGUGAGAUGUUGGGUUAAGUCCCGCAACGAGCGCAACCCUUGUCAUUAGUUGCUACGAAAGGGCACUCUAAUGAGACUGCCGGUGACAAACCGGAGGAAGGUGGGGAUGACGUCAAGUCCUCAUGGCCCUUAUGGGUAGGGCUUCACACGUCAUACAAUGGUACAUACAGAGGGCCGCCAACCCGCGAGGGGGAGCUAAUCCCAGAAAGUGUAUCGUAGUCCGGAUUGCAGUCUGCAACUCGACUGCAUGAAGUUGGAAUCGCUAGUAAUCGCGGAUCAGCAUGUCGCGGUGAAUACGUUCCCGGGUCUUGUACACACCGCCCGUCACACCAUGGGAGCGGGUUUUACCAGAAGUAGGUAGCUUAACCGCAAGGAGGGCGCUUACCACGGUAGGAUUCGUGACUGGGGUGAAGUCGUAACAAGGUAACC
rnacentral:rRNA from 1 species